rnacentral:rRNA from 1 species
UACGUAGGGCGCGAGCGUUGUCCGGAAUCAUUGGGCGUAAAGAGCUCGUAGGCGGCCGGUUGCGUCUGCUGUGAAAUCCCGGGGCUUAACCCCGGGCGUGCAGUGGAUACGGGCUGGCUGGAGGCAGGCAGGGGAGAAUGGAAUUCCCGGUGUAGCGGUGAAAUGCGCAGAUAUCAGGAGGAACACCGGUGGCGAAGGCGGGUCUCUGGGCAGUAACUGACGCUGAGGAGCGAAAGCGUGGGGAGCGAACAGG